UGCCGCGAGAGGCGCCAGCGGUUGGUAGCCAGCCCGGCCUUGGGGCUGAGGCCAGGCCGGAGCACCCGUGGCCUGGCGGGGCGGGGCCGGGAGGGCAGGUGAGUUGGGGAGGAGACCCGGAGAGCUGCAGGAGGGUGACCACAAGGAGGCGUCCGGGGGAGGGAAGCCCCAGCCCAGCCCGGGCGGCGAGCACCGACCUGAUCCCGGGGAACCGGAGUCCGGCGGCGGCAGAAAAUGUGAUGACUGAUGACUCACUUCAGACGGAUUAUACCUGUAGGGAAACCCAAAUGUUCUUCUGCAGAACAUCAUGACCAUCACUUACUGAACUGCCUGCAUCAUACCCCUCUGAACUCGCGGUGAAGUGAGAAGGGGCCAGGGGAGGAGCUGCCUCUCCCAGCAACCUCAGAGCUCAUUUGGAACCAGUGGUGGAAUUCAGGCCACCUGAUGCCACUUCUCUACUUUUCCGUUCAGCCAUCAAGAGUCUUCAGUUUUAGAUA